rnacentral:rRNA from 1 species
UUAAGGGCGCACGGUGGAUGCCUUGGCACUAGAAGCCGAUGAAGGACGUUACUAACGACGAUAUGCUUUGGGGAGCUGUAAGUAAGCUUUGAUCCAGAGAUUUCCGAAUGGGGAAACCCAGCAUGAGUUAUGUCAUGUUAUCGAUAUGUGAAUACAUAGCAUAUCAGAAGGCACACCCGGAGAACUGAAACAUCUUAGUACCCGGAGGAAGAGAAAGAAAAUUCGAUUCCCUUAGUAGCGGCGAGCGAAACGGGAAGAGCCCAAACCAACAAGCUUGCUUGUUGGGGUUGUAGGACACUCUAUACGGAGUUACAAAGGACGACAUUAGACGAAUCAUCUGGAAAGAUGAAUCAAAGAAGGUAAUAAUCCUGUAGUCGAAAAUGUUGUCUCUCUUGAGUGGAUCCUGAGUACGACGGAGCACGUGAAAUUCCGUCGGAAUCUGGGAGGACCAUCUCCUAAGGCUAAAUACUCUCUAGUGACCGAUAGUGAACCAGUACCGUGAGGGAAAGGUGAAAAGCACCCCGGAAGGGGAGUGAAACAGAACCUGAAACCGUGUGCUUACAAGUAGUCAGAGCCCGUUAAUGGGUGAUGGCGUGCCUUUUGUAGAAUGAACCGGCGAGUUACGAUUUGAUGCAAGGUUAAGCAGUAAAUGUGGAGCCGUAGCGAAAGCGAGUCUGAAUAGGGCGUUUAGUAUUUGGUCGUAGACCCGAAACCAGGUGAUCUACCCUUGGUCAGGUUGAAGUUCAGGUAACACUGAAUGGAGGACCGAACCGACUUACGUUGAAAAGUGAGCGGAUGAACUGAGGGUAGCGGAGAAAUUCCAAUCGAACCUGGAGAUAGCUGGUUCUCUCCGAAAUAGCUUUAGGGCUAGCCUCAAGUGAUGAUUAUUGGAGGUAGAGCACUGUUUGGACGAGGGGCCCCUCUCGGGUUACCGAAUUCAGACAAACUCCGAAUGCCAAUUAAUUUAACUUGGGAGUCAGAACAUGGGUGAUAAGGUCCGUGUUCGAAAGGGAAACAGCCCAGACCACCAGCUAAGGUCCCAAAAUAUAUGUUAAGUGGAAAAGGAUGUGGCGUUGCCCAGACAACUAGGAUGUUGGCUUAGAAGCAGCCAUCAUUUAAAGAGUGCGUAAUAGCUCACUAGUCGAGUGACACUGCGCCGAAAAUGUACCGGGGCUAAACAUAUUACCGAAGCUGUGGAUUGUCCUUUGGACAAUGGUAGGAGAGCGUUCUAAGGGCGUUGAAGCAUGAUCGUAAGGACAUGUGGAGCGCUUAGAAGUGAGAAUGCCGGUGUGAGUAGCGAAAGACGGGUGAGAAUCCCGUCCACCGAUUGACUAAGGUUUCCAGAGGAAGGCUCGUCCGCUCUGGGUUAGUCGGGUCCUAAGCUGAGGCCGACAGGCGUAGGCGAUGGAUAACAGGUUGAUAUUCCUGUACCACCUAUAAUCGUUUUAAUCGAUGGGGGGACGCAGUAGGAUAGGCGAAGCGUGCGAUUGGAUUGCACGUCUAAGCAGUAAGGCUGAGUAUUAGGCAAAUCCGGUACUCAUUAAGGCUGAGCUGUGAUGGGGAGAAGACAUUGUGUCUUCGAGUCGUUGAUUUCACACUGCCGAGAAAAGCCUCUAGAUAGAAAAUAGGUGCCCGUACCGCAAACCGACACAGGUAGUCAAGAUGAGAAUUCUAAGGUGAGCGAGCGAACUCUCGUUAAGGAACUCGGCAAAAUGACCCCGUAACUUCGGGAGAAGGGGUGCUCUUUAGGGUUAACGCCCAGAAGAGCCGCAGUGAAUAGGCCCAAGCGACUGUUUAUCAAAAACACAGGUCUCUGCUAAACCGUAAGGUGAUGUAUAGGGGCUGACGCCUGCCCGGUGCUGGAAGGUUAAGAGGAGUGGUUAGCUUCUGCGAAGCUACGAAUCGAAGCCCCAGUAAACGGCGGCCGUAACUAUAACGGUCCUAAGGUAGCGAAAUUCCUUGUCGGGUAAGUUCCGACCCGCACGAAAGGCGUAACGAUUUGGGCACUGUCUCAACGAGAGACUCGGUGAAAUCAUAGUACCUGUGAAGAUGCAGGUUACCCGCGACAGGACGGAAAGACCCCGUGGAGCUUUACUGUAGCCUGAUAUUGAAAUUCGGCACAGCUUGUACAGGAUAGGUAGGAGCCUUUGAAACGUGAGCGCUAGCUUACGUGGAGGCGCUGGUGGGAUACUACCCUAGCUGUGUUGGCUUUCUAACCCGCACCACUUAUCGUGGUGGGAGACAGUGUCAGGCGGGCAGUUUGACUGGGGCGGUCGCCUCCUAAAAGGUAACGGAGGCGCUCAAAGGUUCCCUCAGAAUGGUUGGAAAUCAUUCAUAGAGUGUAAAGGCAUAAGGGAGCUUGACUGCGAGACCUACAAGUCGAGCAGGGUCGAAAGACGGACUUAGUGAUCCGGUGGUUCCGCAUGGAAGGGCCAUCGCUCAACGGAUAAAAGCUACCCCGGGGAUAACAGGCUUAUCUCCCCCAAGAGUUCACAUCGACGGGGAGGUUUGGCACCUCGAUGUCGGCUCAUCGCAUCCUGGGGCUGUAGUCGGUCCCAAGGGUUGGGCUGUUCGCCCAUUAAAGCGGUACGCGAGCUGGGUUCAGAACGUCGUGAGACAGUUCGGUCCCUAUCCGUCGUGGGCGUAGGAAAUUUGAGAGGAGCUGUCCUUAGUACGAGAGGACCGGGAUGGACAUACCUCUGGUGUACCAGUUGUCGUGCCAACGGCAUAGCUGGGUAGCUAUGUGUGGACGGGAUAAGUGCUGAAAGCAUCUAAGCAUGAAGCCCCCUCAAGAUGAGAUUUCCCAACUUCGGUUAUAAGAUCCCUCAAAGAUGAUGAGGUUAAUAGGUUCGAGGUGGAAGCAUGGUGACAUGUGGAGCUGACGAAUACUAAUCGAUCGAAGACUUAAUCAA